GUCUUCUCAUUGAGCUCCGUUCUGUCUCUUGGUGGCAGUUUAUGGAUUCGCACGAGAAGAAGAGUAAUUCACAGAACUUAGCAUUAUUUUACCUUCUUUUUUUAUGGAGGUAUAUUUGGCUGUUUUGUGAGACAUUC
rnacentral:snoRNA from 1 species